CGGAAGUGGCUCAGUGGUAGAGCAUCACCUUGCCAAGGUGAGGGUCGCGGGUUCGAAUCCCGUCUUCCG
rnacentral:tRNA from 1 species